ACUCCUACGGGAGGCAUCAGUGGGGAAUUUUGGACAAUGGGGGCAACCCUGAUCCAGCCAUUCCGCGUGAGUGAAGAAGGCCUUCGGGUUGUAAAGCUCUUUCGCAAGGGAAGAAAACUUAUGAUCGAAUAAAUCAUGAGGUUGACGGUACCUUGAUAAGAAGCACCGACUACCUACGUGCCAGCAGCCGCGGUAAUAC
rnacentral:rRNA from 1 species